rnacentral:rRNA from 1 species
GACGAACGCUGGCGGCGUGCUUAACACAUGCAAGUCGAACGGAAAGGCCCUGCUUUUGUGGGGUGCUCGAGUGGCGAACGGGUGAGUAACACGUGAGUAACCUGCCCUUGACUUUGGGAUAACUUCAGGAAACUGGGGCUAAUACCGGAUAGGAGCUCCUGCUGCAUGGUGGGGGUUGGAAAGUUUCGGCGGUUGGGGUUGGACUCGCGGCUUAUCAGCUUGUUGGUGGGGUAGUGGCUUACCAAGGUUUUGACGGGUAGCCGGCCUGAGAGGGUGACCGGCCACAUUGGGACUGAGAUACGGCCCAGACUCCUACGGGAGGCAGCAGUGGGGAAUAUUGCACAAUGGGCGGAAGCCUGAUGCAGCAACGCCGCGUGCGGGAUGACGGCCUUCGGGUUGUAAACCGCUUUCGCCUGUGACGAAGCGUGAGUGACGGUAAUGGGUAAAGAAGCACCGGCUAACUACGUG